CCCAGGAUGGCCGAGUGGUUAUGGCACCAGACUGUUGAUCUAGAAGUGUUUCGAAAUCGCAGGUUCGAUUUCUGCUCCUGGGA
rnacentral:tRNA from 1 species